CCAAAUUUCUCCCACCGGCCGCCGCGUUCCCCUUCCCGUCCGAGAGCCACACCACCCCGAUGCUCCAGCUCGCGGGGCUCCUCCGCGCGCGGGGCGUUCGUCUCCAUCCGCGAGUCCCUCCCCGACGAGGUCGCCGCCAGCCCCGAGGCCUUCCUCUCUCCACUCCUCCCCUGCCGCCGCCAGCCCACGUCUGCUUUCUGCUCUCCACCGCUGGCCACUCCAUCUCCUCCAAGAACCCAACAGCAGCAACGCACGGCGCCUCAUUUUCCCUCCCUAAUUUCUCCCACGAAGAAGCUAGCAGCUGCAACCCUUGCUGCUCUCUCUGAUUUUCCCUCUCGGUGAAGUAAUCACCCUGCUCUUUCUUCAAUCGGAGCUGAGCAAGCAAACCAGAGCUGCACCACGCCGAUAUCGAGCGGAGCAAGGAGGAGGACAAGGAGCAGCUGCCAGAAGCAACGACGCCGACAGCCUGACACCACCACGCCGCCGUUCACCCUCGAGCUGCGGCCGUCCUCACUGCCGGGAACCUCCACACCGAGCAGCACAAGCAUGGGAGUCGACGCCGCUCGUGACGGGAAGCCGGCGCCCCACCUCCCUUCCGGCGAGCCGCGGCCGGCGUGACCUCCGCCGCGGGCCAGCGGCCGGCGCGAGCUCCGCCACGAGGGCGGGCGCGGGCGCGGCUCCGGCGAGCCCCUCCCUGCACGGCCUUGGGAUCUCAUCCUGGCGCAUUGACUAGAGGAAGAAGAAGAUACAAUCUAUGGAUGACAUAUCGGACCCACUUGUAAUUGAGGGGACUUCUUCAAAAGUCACAACAGUUUAAUCAAACGGCUUCCAACCAUCCCACAGCAGCUUUGUUAAAGUUAUUUUUUGUAAAGUCACAGCCAACAGCAGCUUUUGGUAAAGCCACAGCCCAACCAAACACACCCUUACUGCAUUUGUAUACUAACAUCUCCAGUCAACUUCUGACAUACGGCAAGAACAAAUGAUCCUGUAAAGGAAUAGUGGUGUUCUAGAAUGUUUGUAAUUGAUAAUCACAAAAAUAAUUACUGUAACAAAUAAGGUCUAAUCAAUAAAUUGCAAUAAAACUGGUGUUCAAAAACAUUACCACUUUUAUAUGGGUGAUGUAUAUUCUUGUGAACUUCAGAUAAUAUACAUCGUGAUAUGUUCGCUUAUUCUUAAGAUACUUCCAUUAUGCAUUUCAUCUUUUUGGUCUGAAAUUUUGUCAGAGAACCUCUGGUUAUUAAUUUGAGAGCAAAGAUAUGCUUCCUAUAAUAAUUCUUUAGUUGGUCUCACGAAAGAAUAUGACUUUAAACUUUAGUGACUGUAUAACUAGUACCAUGAAAGUCCAUGACUCCACGAGGUUCAUUGAACUGAUAAGUGAUUUCUUAUUCAAUUUGUUUUUCCAUUCUUUCCUAGUUGAGCUAAAUUCGUCUAUCACAUACCUUCUGUUCAUAUUUGCACCUGUCUGUCUGUAAUUACCUUAUUACCAUCCAGUAACCAUUUGUUUUAUUCCUUACAGUUUGGUGACCAAACCAAAAAUUUACGUUUGUUUUAUCCAUAACAAAUUUGGUCACCUUCCAAUAGAAAUUGUUGCAUAUAUCAAUAGAUGAAAAGAUGUUGAGAUCCUACUCCCAGUAACUUGACAUAUUCCAUUUGUGCGUGAUUGGAGCGAUGAUGGGAUAAUAAGUUAUGUGAAAUCAAUGCUAUGGGUGGAGGUAUAACAUGAAGAGUCACUGUCCAUUUAAGUUCCCUUUUAUUUCUGUGUUAACUUUGGCUAUAUAUGGCAAUACAUAACUUCCUAUCUAUAGGUUCUUCAAUGCAUCCCCUUAAGCUUAAAGCGGGCACUAAUAAUUAUGGACAUCCAUCCAUUCUCCUGAAAUGAAUUGAAGAAGCAUCAUUAAGUUUAGUUUGGUUUGUAAACUAAGUAAUCGAUUAUGAAAUCAUGCUGAUGAUUGAAGUGAAUCAAUAGGAUUUUUAGACUGGAGAUUUUUUUUUAAAAAAAAUGUUUCUGUGUCCUUCUCAAGUAGCUCAUGCAAGGGUAGAACUCAUAUCUCUUUUGCUUUCAUGUUCUCAUUCCUUGUGCCAAAUGUUUUAUUUUUAUGUUUCAGGAUAACUCAGUGAAAACUGCUGAAAGUUACAAGGAUGCAGGGCAUACAAGAGAAAAGAUUAUCUUAUUGCAGAAUGGAUGCAGCACGAUGGUUGGGCAAAGGCCUGCUAUCUGGAAGGAGCUGCCCAGAUGUUACUCAAGGGAUGCCGCAUGAAGACAUCUCACGGGCAUCUAGUCAGAAUUACCUUUUGCCAAGGAGACACAUUUGCCCAGGAGUGUCAUGACUUUUGCUAGUUCUCAUCAGUGCACAACAGGGCUGCUGGACAUGUAGGUUUGAAGUCAUAACACAUGACCUUAACUUAGUUUUGACAUGCGCGGAGUCUUAAUGCUACCGAAUAUCGAUAAAUCAAUCCGAAUAUCAAUAUAUCAAUCAGUUUCUAGUAGUGGGA